UACAAAGGGUGCAAGCGUUAAUCGGAAUUACUGGGCGUAAAGCGUGCGUAGACGGUUAUGUAAGUCGGGUGUGAAAGCCCCGGGCUCAACCUGGGAAUGCCAUUCGAGACUGCAUAGCUAGGGUGCGGAAGAGGGAAGCGGAAUUUCCGGUGUAGCGGUGAAAUGCGUAGAUAUCGGAAGGAACACCAGUGGCGAAAGCGGCUUCCUGGUCCAGCACCGACGUUCAGGCACGAAAGCGUGGGGAGCAAACAGG
rnacentral:rRNA from 1 species